rnacentral:rRNA from 1 species
AUUGAACGCUGGCGGCAUGCCUUACACAUGCAAGUCGAGCGGUAAGGCCCUUUCGGGGGUACACGAGCGGCGAACGGGUGAGUAACACGUGGGUGACCUGCCCUCAGCUCUGGGAUAAGCCUGGGAAACCGGGUCUAAUACUGGAUAUGACUCCAUGACGCAUGUUGUGGGGUGGAAAGCCUUGUGCGGCUGAGGAUGGGCCCGCGGCCUAUCAGCUUGUUGGUGGGGUGAUGGCCUACCAAGGCGA